rnacentral:rRNA from 1 species
UACGUAGGGUGCGAGCGUUAAUCGGAAUUACUGGGCGUAAAGCGUGCGCAGGCGGUUCGUUAUGUCCGAUGUGAAAGCCCCGAGCUUAACUUGGGAAUGGCAUUGGAAACUGGCGGGCUGGAGUGCGGCAGAGGGGGGUGGAAUUCCGCGUGUAGCAGUGAAAUGCGUAGAGAUGCGGAGGAACACCGAUGGCGAAGGCAGCCCCCUGGGUCGACACUGACGCUCAGGCACGAAAGCGUGGGGAGCAAACAGG